GCUUCUGGAAGGAAAGCCAAGCCAGUGCCUCUGAAGAUGUUGGUGGUGGAGGAGGAACAAGAGGAGGCAAGACCAGGUUGAGAGAAGGAGUCCUCGCUCUUAAGCUCUGACCUUUCCAGUUCAGGUCCUGAUUCAGAAAAUAAGAAGAGAUGAAAAGAGAUUCGCAACUGGAAGAUGAAAAGAAAAAA